GGUAGGAUGGCCGAGUGCUAUAGGCGGUGGGUUGUAGCCCCGAAGACAGAGGUUUAAGUCCUCUUCCUAUCA
rnacentral:tRNA from 4 species